AGUGAACGCUGGCGGCGUGCCUAAUACAUGCAAGUCGAACGGAGGUUAAGUAGCUGGCUAUUUAAUCUUAGUGGCGCACGGGUGAGUAAUAUAUAGCUAACUUGCCCAUUACUUAGGGACAACAGUUGGAAACGACUGCUAAUACCUUAUACUCCAUAUCUUUAUAAGUAGAUACGGGAAAGUUUUUAGGUAGUGGAUAGGGCUGUAUCGUAUCAGCUAGUUGGUAAGGUAAUGGCUUACCAAGGCCAUGACGCGUAACUGGUCUGAGAGGAUGACCAGUCACACUGGAACUGAGACACGGUUCAGACUCCUACGGGAGGGAGCAGUAGGGAAUAUUGCUCAAUGGGCGAAACCCUGAAGCAGCAACGCGGCGUGGAGGAUGACACUUUUCGGAGCGUAAACUCCUUUUCUUGGGAAAGAAUUAUGACGGUACCCAAGGAAUAAGCACCGGCUAACUCCGUG
rnacentral:rRNA from 1 species